CGCCUUAUACUCCUACGGGAGGCAGCAGUGGGGAAUUUUGGACAAUGGGCGCAAGCCUGAUCCAGCCAUGCCGCGUGUGGGAAGAAGGCCUUCGGGUUGUAAACCACUUUUGUCAGGGAGGAAACGGUCUGAUCUAAUACAUUGGGCUAAUGACGGUACCUGAAGAAUAAGCACCGGCUAACUACGUGCCAGCAGCCGCGGUAAUACGUAGGGUGCAAGCGUUAAUCGGAAUUACUGGGCGUAAAGCGUGCGCAGGCGGUUGUGUAAGUCAGAUGUGAAAUCCCCGGGCUCAACCUGGGAAAUGCAUUUGAGACUGCACAGCUAGAGUGUGUCAGAGGGGGGUAGAAUUCCACGUGUAGCAGUGAAAUGCGUAGAUAUGUGGAGGAAUACCGAUGGCGAAGGCAGCCCCCUGGGAUAACACUGACGCUCAUGCACGAAAGCGUGGGGAGCAAACAGGAUUAGAUACCCUGGUAGUCCACGUACCA
rnacentral:rRNA from 1 species